GGUGGCUCAGUGGUAGAGUGCUUGUCUUGCAGACAUGAGGCUGUAGGUUCGAUUCCUCAGCACCA
rnacentral:tRNA from 1 species